rnacentral:rRNA from 1 species
CAGUCGCCGCGGGAAUACGUAGGUCCCGAGCGUUGUCCGGAAUUAUUGGGCGUAAAGGGAGCGCAGGCGGACAUAUAAGUCCAUCUUAAAAGUGCGGGGCUCAACCCCGUGAGGGGAUGGAAACUGUAUGCCUUGAGUGCAGGAGAGGAAAGCGGAAUUCCCAGUGUAGCGGUGAAAUGCGUAGAUAUUGGGAGGAACACCAGUGGCGAAGGCGGCUUUCUGGACUGCAACUGACGCUGAGGCUCGAAAGCCAGGGGAGCGAACGGGAUUAGAUACCCGAGUAGUCCCUGUCUCUUAUACA